UUGCCAUUUAUCUUAGACACGAAAGGGCAAAAAGAAAAAGUAGACCUUUUACAAGGUCAGGGAAGAUCAGGAAACUAGAUGGUGAAAAGAAAUCGCCUGUAACCCUAAUCGACGAUGACGAUGGGGUUGAUGGACACGAAGGGAGUUCCAGCCAGAUAGUGCUAAACUCAACUCAAACCGCCGGAAACUCUAUGUCUCCAACAUAGUCCAACAUGGACUCUCUUCGCAAACAAGGGGCUGACAAGAUAUGCCAUACCACAACUUCUGACCACACCACUUCAUCUGAGUCAUCAUCUGAGUCCUCUUCCACCAGUAAUUCAUCUAC